rnacentral:rRNA from 1 species
CACAUGCCAGUCGAACGAUCCUUCGGGAUUGUGGCGGACGGGUGAGUAACACGUGCGAACGUACCCUUAGGUUCGGAACAACACAGGGAAACUUGUGCUCAUACCGCAUAAGGGCUUCGGGGGAAAGAUUUAUAGCCUAUGGAGCGGCCCGCGUCUGAUUAGCUUGUUGGUGAGGUAAUGGCUCACCAAGGCUACGAUCAGUAGCUGGUCUGAGAGGAUGGCCAGCCACACUGGGACUGAGACACGGACCAGACUCCUACGGGAGGCAGCAGUGGGGAAUCUUGCGCAAUGGGCGAAAGCCUGACGCAGCCAUGCCGCGUGGAUGCAUAAGGUCUUAGGAUUGUAAAAUCCUUUCACCGGGGAAGAUAAUGACGGUACCCGGAGAAGAAGCCCCGGCUAACUUGGUGCCAGCAGCCGCGGUAAUACGAAGGGGGCUAGCGUUGCUCGGACUUACUGGGCGUAAACUGCGCGUAGGCGGACAGUUAAGUUGGGGUGAUAGCCCGGGGCUCAACCUCGGAAAUGCCUUCAAUACUGGCUGUCUUGAGUACGGGAGAGGUGAGUGGAACUCCGAGUGUCGAGGUGAAAUUCGUAGAUAUUCGGAAGAACACCAGUGGCGAAGGCGACUCACUGGCCCGUUACUGACGCUGAGGCGCGAAAGCGUGGGGAGCAAACAGGAUUAGAUACCCUGGAGACCACGCCGUACACGAUGACUGCUAGUUGUCGGCAUGCAUGCAGCCGCGGUGACGCAGCUAACGCAUUAAGCACUCCGCCUGGGGAGUACGGUCGCAAGAUUAAAACUCAAAGGAAUUGACAAGGGCCCGCACAAGCGGUAGAGCAUGUGGUUUAAUUCGAAGCAACGCGCAGAACCAUACCACCUUUUGACAUGCCCGGACCGCCACAGAGAUGUGGCUUUCCCUUCGGGGACUGGGACACAGGUGCUGCAUGGCUGUCGUCAGCUCGUGUCGUGAGAUGUUGGGUUAAGAACCGCAACGAGCGCAACCCUCGCUGUUAGUUGCUACCAGGUUUGGCUGGGCACUCUAACAGGACCGCCGGUGGUAAGCCGGAGGAUGGUGGGGAUGACGUCAAGUCCUCAGCGCCCUUACAGGGUGGGCUACACACGUGCUACAAUGGCGACUACAGAGGGCUGCAAUCCCGCGAGGGGGAGCCAAUCCCUAAAAGUCGUCUCAGUUCGGAUUGCACUCUGCAACUCGAGUGCAAGAAGUUGGAAUCGCUAGUAAUCGCGGAUCAGCCUGCCGCGGUGAAUCAACGAGCGCAACCCUCGUUUAACUUUGCCAGCACAGCAACGCUGCG